rnacentral:tRNA from 2 species
GAGAACCUAGUAAACAUAAUUACGCGGCUUUGUCGUAGCCGAAUCACAACCCAUGUGGUACUCA